GAUGAACGCUAGCUACAGGCUUAACACAUGCAAGUCGAGGGGCAGCAUGACGAUAGCUUGCUAUUGUUGAUGGCGACCGGCGCACGGGUGAGUAACGCGUACCCAACCUGCCCUUGUCCAUCGGAUAACCCGUCGAAAGGCGGCCUAACACGAUACGCAGUUCUCGGCAGGCAUCUAACGAGAACGAAAUGUGAAGGAGAAGGAUGGGGAUGCGUCUGAUUAGCUUGUUGGCGGGGUAACGGCCCACCAAGGCGACGAUCAGUAGGGGUUCUGAGAGGAAGGUCCCCCACAUUGGAACUGAGACACGGUCCAAACUCCUACGGGAGGCAGCAGUGGGGAAUUUUGGACAAUGGGGAAAACCCUGAUCCAGCCAUGCCGCGUGAGUGAAGAAGGCCUUCGGGUUGUAAAGCUCUUUCGGCCGGGACGAAAUCGCACGCGUGAAUAUCGCGUGUGGAUGACGGUACCGGAAGAAGAAGGACCGGCUAACUACGUGCCAGCCGCCGCCGUAAGAC
rnacentral:rRNA from 1 species